CGGAAGAGCAGUUUCACUGGCAAUCACAAGAUGGUCAAAAAGACAUCGAAGACGAACUUACAACGGGUCUUGAACUGGUGGACUCCUGUAUUAGAUCACUGCAGGAAUCAGGAAUACUUGACCCACAGGAUUAUUCAACAGGUGAAAGGCCCAGCCUGCUCUCCCAGAGUGCACUUCAGCUCAAUUCCAAACCUGAAGGGUCCUUCCAGUAUCCGGCCAGCUACCAUAGCAACCAGACCCUGGCCCUGAGUGAGACAGCCCCUUCG
rnacentral:lncRNA from 1 species